rnacentral:rRNA from 1 species
UCGAACGCCCACUUCGGUGGGAGUGGCAGACGGGUGAGGAACACGUGGAACCUACCUAGAGGUACGGAAUAACUUCGGGAAACCGGAACUAAUACCGUAUACGCCCUCCGGGGGAAAGAUUUAUCGCCUUUAGAUGGGCCCGCGUCUGAUUAGCUUGUUGGUGAGGUAAUGGCUCACCAAGGCGACGAUCAGUAGCUGGUUUGAGAGGAUGAUCAGCCACACUGGGACUGAGACACGGCCCAGACUCCUACGGGAGGCAGCAGUGGGGAAUAUUGGACAAUGGGCGCAAGCCUGAUCCAGCCAUGCCGCGUGAGUGACGAAGGCCUUAGGGUUGUAAAACUCUUUCAGCAGGGAAGAUAAUGACGGUACCUGCAGAAGAAACCCCGGCUAACUCCGUGCCAGCAGCCGCGGUAAUACGGAGGGGGUUAGCGUUGUUCGGAAUUACUGGGCGUAAAGCGUACGUAGGCGGAUCAGAAAGUAUGGGGUGCAAUCCCAGGGCUCAACCCUGGAACUGCCUCAUAAACUCCUGGUCUUGAGUUCGAGAGAGGUGAGUGGAACUCCGAGUGUAGAGGUGAAAUUCGUAGAUAUUCGGAAGAACACCAGUGGCGAAGGCGGC